ACCGGCGGCUCGAGUGGUGGCCACUAUUAUUGGGCUUAAAGCGUUCGUAGCUGGCUUGUUAAGUCUCUGGGGAAAUCCUCCAGCUCAACUGUAAUACGUCUUGGGGAUACUGGAAGACUAGGGCCCGGGAGAGGUGAGUGGUACUCCAGGGGUAGGGGUGAAAUCCUGUAAUCCUUGGGGGACCACCUGUGGCGAAGGCGUCUAACUGGAACGUAACUGACAGUGAGGAACGAAAGCUGGGGGAGCAAACCG
rnacentral:rRNA from 1 species